AAAGAUUAUUUACAAAUAAUUGUUUUCAGUUUUAAUUACAAUUCCAACACACCGUCCCAACAUUUUCUAAUUUGGGGUUGUAAUACAACAAAAAAAUUACCAAACUUCAAAGAAACUGAGACUUGAAAGAUCACAUUGGCAUGUAAAGCAGUUCAUGCUGUUUACACUUAGGGACAUGCUGUUAUUGGAAAAUAAUCAACUUCAGGUGGUAACACUAACUCCUCCUCAUCACACCACAUGUUGGUGAUUAUUUUCUUAUAAGAGCAUGACUCAGUGUUUCAUUUCUUACUUAUCCAAAUCUACACACAGUAUCUCUAGAUUACUGUAAUGGAUUGUACGCCCCAGCCUUAUUUUUGUUUGUCAGAUCAAGCUCUUGGACUCUGAAUCUGUCUGGCUUUUUUCCCUCUCACUGAUCUGAUUGGUCAGUGUUGGAGAACAGGGUGUCGUAUAUCGGAUCUAAUUGGAUGGCUUUAAUGUGGAGGGUCUGGUAGACUGGACUUGAUUGGCUGAAGCUGGGCUCGAGUGUACCACUUUACACAAAUUUCUAGCAAAAGGCUCCAAGGUCAUAGACCAUGUGCUUCUUCCUUCUCAAGCACCCUGCACCUUAAUCUUGGAAAGGAUACUCAACCUUGAGCAACGCCAAUGGCACAGCGUCCCAGAUUUUUUGGAAACAGGUUUUUACUGCUUGCUGUUAUUUGGCCAACAAAAUGAAGGACAGUGGUGUAAGGAGGACAUGAGUGGAGGGGAAAGGUUGACACAUCCAAGUGACUGAAACUGACACACACACUGUACAGUGUGGUCAACAUGUUUCUGACUUCUCGUGCUGUGGGGAAAAAAUGCACUGCUAUGUGUUUCAUAUGUAGAAGAACUAUCGAGGAGACGACGGGGACAACCUCGAACUUCAAUUGCCAUUUGAUUCAGCCUCAGGGGGACCUCCGCCCUACCAAACCACUGAACCCCCCUUUGGAGAAGGAGCCAAGAGCAGCAGAGGCACAGGCAAGCACAAGCAAAGCACACACCACACUCUAAGCAAUCAGCAUGAUGUACCGCCUCUGACUGCUUUCUGUCAAUCAUGAGCAGCCCAGCCGCGUUCACAGCUCCUCCUCCAAUCACCAGCUGGAGAUGAACCUCCUCUCGGGAAGUCUUGUCCCGCCCCUCUUAUUGACUCCCAUCUCCAGUGAGGCUCAGUCUCUGAAUGGAGCGUUUUAGUCAGUUUUGUCCAAUAACCGUCUAGUAUUUUGCUAUUGAAAAGGGCAGAUAUUUUUUAAAAAGCAAUUGAAGUCUAUUCAGGCUCGGCUAGAUUGCGUUGUCACUCUCACUCACUCUCACUCACACUAACUCACUCACUCACUCACACUCUCUCACUCACUCUCACUCACUCACUCACACUCUCUCUCUCACUUACUCUCACUCACUCACACUCCAUCACUCACUCAAACUCUCACUCACUCACUCUCACACACUCUCACUCACUCACACUCUCUCUCUCACUUACUCACUCACUCACUCACUCACACUCCAUCACUCACUCAAACUCUCACUCACUCACUCUCACACACUCUAUCUCACUCACUCACACUCUCUCUUUCUCUCACUCACUCACUCACUCACUCACUCACUCACUCACUCACACUCCAUCACUCACUCAAACUCUCACUCACUCACUCUCACACACUCUCACUCACUCACUCACUCACUCACUCACUCACUCACUCACUCACACUCUCUCUCUCAUUCACUCUCACUCACUCACACUCCAUCACUCACUCAAACUCUCACUCACUCACACUCUCACUCACUCACUCACUCACUCACUCACUCAAACACACACAAAAUACUUUUGUGAUCGUGCAGUUUUGAAAUUGUUAAAAUAAACAUGUUCACCUACAUGUUCAUCUUGUUGGGCUUGUGAUUUUGACUCGUUUCCAAAAUGUAUGAAAAGUCACCAUAUUAGGAUAUUUUUUUUUGGCAAAUAAGAUGUAUCGCAAUGUUUGACCUCGGUAUUUGAAAAAUCCUGGUUACGGCCCUGCUUGUCAUGACUAAUAUUGGGUGUAUUGUCUGUUUACAGUUGCAUUUCUGACAGAGACUAUAUCAGUAUUUAUAAUUUUCCAUAGAUCAUGUAUACACCAGUGUUUUAAAAUACAUGUAUAUAAUUUAUCACUUUUUAUUUGAUGCUAUUUCCUUUCUGUUUUCAGAUCUGAGUGAUCUUUAACAUUGCUCCUGUUCAAAGAUCCAAACUUAUCGUCUCGAGUGUAGAUCGUACUUGUAACAAACUUUUGGUGCUGGAACUCUAUAAAUAGAACUAACAGCUAGUUCCUUAAUAAUAUCGACCAAAAUGUGUUUGGUCCCUGCACCAGGCACAAAUAGAAGGGCACGACAGUAUAAGCUUAGCAUUUGCAGAAUUCAAUGCUAAUAACCUUUAAUAACAUCUGAGACUUCCUCAUACAGAAAAUACUAAAUCCUUGACUGAUCACUAAUUUGAGUCUAUAUUAAAAAUGACUCCUCUAAAGACACAACAAAUUCGAGGGCAUUAAAAAUGGAUGAUUUGGGAUUGAAAAAAGAGAAUGAUGCACAAAUCAGAGGACACUUCACAUGUUUGUAGUGAUUGAAUUAAUGAAACUAUUUACCGAGUUGCAGACCUGUGCUCCCUGUGCUUCAUUUCCAUUCAGGGUCUUAAAGAUAUGAUACUUUUGGUGGGGUAUGGAAUUGAAUCUGCCAUAUUUCUGUAAAUACUCUAUCUAGAGAGCUCCCAUUAUAGAAGUGACCAGGCAAUCUGGUUUAUAAUAAGACCAGCUAGUGAUAGGAGAUGAAUACAUUUGUUUUUUAGGGCCCUAAACCCCACUCGCGAGUGUGUUUUUUCUUAAUUUUUAGCAUUUUUUUGGAAGCACCUAUGGCCAGGAUUUUCUAGAUAGAUGGCUUUGUUUUCCUUCCAGAUUAGCAACAAAUAGAAAGUUAAUUUACCAAAUUUCAAACCUCUGUGUAGCCUAGAAGCUGAGAAAAAUGCAUUUAAAAACCCUGGCGAGGAUUUAGGGGGUACAUUCUAGUCUAAUUUAGUAAUUUUUCAAAAUGGCAUAAAUAAAAAACCUCUCGGUCUAGAAAGCUGAAAUUUUGAAAACUAAUUUAGAUUUACAUAUAUUUUCAUCAGUAACUUCCACCAUUAAAAUAAAAAUAUUGCUGCAACCAAUUAUCUAUAUCUUGGGUCUUUUUGGCUUGGACUUACCCGAAACAUAAAAUAACUGAUCGUGUGUAUGAAAAAGGCUUUGGAUGAAAUGGCCAUGGGAUGAAAUGACCUGUAUUCAUACUUGAGUGUCGGUAGAAGUGUCUUAUCUUCAGAAAAGCCUGACUUUUUUAAAUAAUAUGGGUCAAAACCACACAUCUAUCUUCGCUCAACCGUUCAAAUCGUGGUAAUACUGAGAAAACUCAGCACUGUUUACAGACACACUUUCAGCAGCUGCCAUCAGAGUUGCUUUGUAUAUCCACCAUCAUGGUGGACACUCGUGACAUAGCACAUUUUAAUCACACGGUUGCAAGUCAUCUAUCCCUAACCAUAACCCUCGGCCGGGGCUACACAUAUCCCACCUCAUUCAUGGUAUUAAUUGUGACUCAUAACCAACAUUUCAACUUCAGAAUAUGGCUGCAUUUUCCCAGAAACACACACACACUAAGUACAAUGUUAACCCUUAUGGGCGGCACAGUGGUGUAGUGGUUAGCAUGGUCGCCUCACAGCAAGAAGGUUCUGGGUUCGAACCCAGUGUGCAGCAAGGGCGUUUCUGUGUGGAGUUUGCAUGUUCUCCCCAUGUCUGUGUGGGUUUCCUCCGGGUGCUCCAGUUUCCCCCACAAUCCAAAGACAUGCGGUUAGGUUAAUAUGGGACGGCCUUGGGCUGAGGUGCUCUUGCGCGAGGCACCUAACUCCCAACUGCUCCCCAGGCGCUGUUAGCAUGGCUGCCCAUUGCUCUGGGUAUGUGGGCAUGUGUGUGUUCACUGCUUCAGAUGGGUUAAAUGCAGAGAGGAAAUUUCACAAGUGUGUGAUGAAUAAAGUUGUGCUUUCUUUCUAACACUACUAGUAACUUAUAAAGACUAAGAACACUGUAAUUAAAAUCUGUCACAUAGUUGAUCCAACUUACAACUAUUGAUUAUUUGUUCAAGUUCUGAAUAAGUAACGUAUGUAGUUUUAUUUUUGUGUGGAUCAACAUUUCUGAGUGAACACGAGUUCAAUGAUGUUUUUGAAGUGGACUCAGGGACGUACACUGACGUCAUAAUGUCGCGACACUACCAGAAAAACCUUUCCAACACGGCGGCCACUUUCAGUGGCGGAGUUCACACAGGAGCAACUUAUCAGGAAGCAAAAACUCUUAAAAAUCAUUUGUUUGUUGUAGGAGUUGUAAGGAUAUUAAAAUGAAGAAAAUGUCCGAUUAUUAGAUUUGCUGGUUUUACAUUUAGGGUCAGGUACAAAACGCAGCAGUUGUGCAAUAUUUCAGUGCUUCGCGCACAUUUUUGAGCACCUUUGCGUCACUUCCUGUUAGGGUAACGGUAAUGUGUUAAGGCAGUAUCGUUGUCUUUCACCACACAGGAGUGUAAACACAACUAUUCAUAUUCUUUUCCAACAAGAUCUCAUUACUACUCCUUGCUCUUUGUCACACUGGUCUCAUUUGGUGGGGGAGAUCUGUUGGGAAAAAGUUUGGCUAUUACCACAAAAAUUAUUUUUAUGCCUCCGCCACCUUAAGCUGCAGGAGGCAUUAUGUUUUCGGGUUGUCCGUCCGUCCGUCCCGAAACCUUGUGAACUAAUGAAAGGAAUUUCACGAAACUUUCAUCAUUUGUGCACCUGGGGACAAAGAUGAACUGAUUAGAAUAUGAAGGCCAAAGGUCAAGGUUACUUUGAGGUCACAUGUCUGCCCCAAAACCUUGUGAACAACAAAAUAUUAUCUGUUCUUGUAGACUUCAAGGUCAGGUGGCAUAUCAUAAUUUGCAUAAUGACACUAAACACCAAGUUGACAUUAACUUAAUCACAACUUCAUAAGGCGUGUAGUCUACCAGGCGGAGGCAUCCCCAUCGAUGUCGAGUUCUACCUAGUUGACCAAUAAGAUGAAAGAAAUAUCUUUCAAAAUGCUACAUAGAUUUUAUCCGACCAAUUUUUAUUUGCAGAAAUUUAAAAAAGACAUCAUUGUUAAUUGUUCUUUUUGUGGGGUAGAAAGAG